AUUAGACUUUCAAUGAUUCAGAAGUUUCUCUACAGUUUCGUUAUUUUUUUUCCAGUCAUUGAUGUUAGCAUGUACUACACAAAGAAAAACAGUUUCCAUAUUAGAUGCCAUAGCAAAUCAAAGAUCAUAUAAUAAAAUAAGUCAAAAAACCCAAAUAUGGAAAAAGAAAGAGCUGAAGAAAUGGUGAUUUGAGCACCUAUGCUUUCUCAUAGGUGUUUUUGGAGGUUUCCAUAUUAGAUGCCAUAGCAAAUCAAAG